rnacentral:rRNA from 1 species
AGGGUUUGAUUAUGGCUCAGGACGAACGCUGGCGGUGUGCUUAACACAUGCAAGUCAACGAGAAUUUAUCUUCGGAUAAUAGUAAAGUGGCGAACGGGUGAGUAACGCGUAAAUAACUUGCCUCGGAGAUUGGGACAACAUUGGGAAACCAGUGCUAAUACCAAAUAAUGCAGCGGGCCCUUUGGGGUAUUGUUGUUAAAGUAGGCUUCGGCUUACACUUCGAGAUAGAUUUGCGUCCGAUUAGUUAGUUGGUAGGGUAAUAGCCUACCAAGACCGAGAUCGGUAGCUGGUCUGAGAGGAUGAUCAGCCACACUGGAAUUGAGAUACGGUCCAGACUCCUACGGGAGGCAGCAGUGAGGAAUUUUGCACAAUGGGCGAAAGCCUGAUGCAGCAACACCGCGUGAUUGAUGAAGUUUUUAGGAAUGUAAAAAUCUGUCGUAAGGGAAGAAAUGUUUCGGAUGUUAAUACCAUUCGUUACUGACGGUACCUUACAAGAAAGGACCGGCUAACUUCGUGCCAGCC